UACGUAGGUGACAAGCGUUGUCCGGAUUUACUGGGCGUAAAGAGCGCGCAGGCGGUCGAUCAAGUCGAGUGUGAAAGCCCCCGGCUCAACUGGGGAGGGUCAUUCGAUACUGAUCGACUCGAAGGCAGGAGAGGGUAGUGGAAUUCCCGGUGUAGUGGUGAAAUUCGUAGAUAUCGAGAGGAACACCGGUGGCGAAGGCGGCGACCUGGACAAUGACUGACGCUGAGACGCGAAAGCGUGGGGAGCAAACAGG
rnacentral:rRNA from 1 species